rnacentral:rRNA from 1 species
UACAGGCUUAACACAUGCAAGUCGAGGGGUAGCAUGGUCUUAGCUUGCUAAGGCCGAUGGCGACCGGCGCACGGGUGAGUAACACGUAUCCAACCUGCCGUCUACUCUUGGACAGCCUUCUGAAAGGAAGAUUAAUACAAGAUGGCAUCAUGAGUCCGCAUGUUCACAUGAUUAAAGGUAUUCCGGUAGACGAUGGGGAUGCGUUCCAUUAGAUAGUAGGCGGGGUAACGGCCCACCUAGUCUUCGAUGGAUAGGGGUUCUGAGAGGAAGGUCCCCCACAUUGGAACUGAGACACGGUCCAAACUCCUACGGGAGGCAGCAGUGAGGAAUAUUGGUCAAUGGGCGAGAGCCUGAACCAGCCAAGUAGCGUGAAGGAUGACUGCCCUAUGGGUUGUAAACUUCUUUUAUAAAGGAAUAAAGUCGGGUAUGGAUACCCGUUUGCAUGUACUUUAUGAAUAAGGAUCGGCUAACUCCGUGCCAGCAGCCGCGGUAAUACGGAGGAUCCGAGCGUUAUCCGGAUUUAUUGGGUUUAAAGGGAGCGUAGAUGGAUGUUUAAGUCAGUUGUGAAAGUUUGCGGCUCAACCGUAAAAUUGCAGUUGAUACUGGAUAUCUUGAGUGCAGUUGAGGCAGGCGGAAUUCGUGGUGUAGCGGUGAAAUGCUUAGAUAUCACGAAGAACUCCGAUUGCGAAGGCAGCCUGCUAAGCUGCAACUGACAUUGAGGCUCGAAAGUGUGGGUAUCAAACAGGAUUAGAUACCCUGGUAGUCCACACGGUAAACGAUGAAUACUCGCUGUUUGCGAUAUACGGCAAGCGGCCAAGCGAAAGCGUUAAGUAUUCCACCUGGGGAGUACGCCGGCAACGGUGAAACUCAAAGGAAUUGACGGGGGCCCGCACAAGCGGAGGAACAUGUGGUUUAAUUCGAUGAUACGCGAGGAACCUUACCCGGGCUUAAAUUGCAGAUGAAUUACGGUGAAAGCCGUAAGCCGCAAGGCAUCUGUGAAGGUGCUGCAUGGUUGUCGUCAGCUCGUGCCGUGAGGUGUCGGCUUAAGUGCCAUAACGAGCGCAACCCUUGUUGUCAGUUACUAACAGGUUCCGCUGAGGACUCUGACAAGACUGCCAUCGUAAGAUGUGAGGAAGGUGGGGAUGACGUCAAAUCAGCACGGCCCUUACGUCCGGGGCUACACACGUGUUACAAUGGGGGGUACAGAGGGCCGCUACCACGCGAGUGGAUGCCAAUCCCCAAAACCUCUCUCAGUUCGGACUGGAGUCUGCAACCCGACUCCACGAAGCUGGAUUCGCUAGUAAUCGCGCAUCAGCCACGGCGCGGUGAAUACGUUCCCGGGCCUUGUACACACCGCCCGUCAAGCCAUGGGAGCCGGGGGUACCUGAAGUGCGUAACCGCGAGGAGCGCCCUAGGGUAAAACCG